AAAUAAUAUUUUUAGAACACUGCAUAAUUAACUUUUACAGCGAAAAAGUAAAAUAAAUUUAUAUAUAUUGUAAUACAGAUAACCAAAGUAUAAAAUUAAAUUUGCAGUGACACGUGGGCCCACGAACGACUAAAAGUGUCAAAAGAAUUGAACCUACAUAUUUUGAGGAUGCUAAUCCAAUUGUAGUCCUCGAUGAAAUGAGCUAUUUACCGACUAUCCUGAUGCCUGAAAUGGGUGGAAAGGAGGGUGGUGAGAUUAUAAAAUCCCAGUGAGUAAACAAAUAUCAUUUAAAAUAUCUAAAGGCGAGUAACAGGAGAUUAGUAAAACAUUUCAUCCAAAUAUGUUUUUUUCAGAACACAAAUAUUCAUUUCAUUUAAAAAAAACAUUAAUAUGGCUUAUGAGUAUCUUAAAAGCUUGGCUCGUGCCAGAAACCAUUAUCAUACUCAGUCAUCAGGGAUACUUUGGCCGAGGGCUAUCCCAAACCGAGUCCGCCAAGGCUAUUAAAAAGUUAUGUACGCAUAAAACAUGUUUUCAUUUUGAAAAUAUAGUCGUUCCUUGACGUUGGUCGAGUUCAUCAUCACGAGGUGGUUCGGCGUGACAUGAACUCUGUCCAUACCUCAAGAGUUACCCUACUCGCCUCUCUAACCGAGGUAAAAUAUAUAAAUAUCCGGAUUCCGUGCCCCUCUAAUAGGCUGAUCCACAGAAUCCGCCUACUGCAGCAAGCUAAACCCACCAUACAAUAAAAUUUUGACAGCAUGACAGGGCUAAUAUUUUACUAUCCAACCUGCAAGGGUAAAAUAAGACAAUCCAUACAAUUCAUAAAACACAGCCUAACCAGUCAUGCCAACACAAUAACAAUAUAACAUAAGCCAUCAAUUUCCAAUCAUAAAUUUACAACAUACCGGUGGUCUCCAAUUACUCUAUUUUCAAAAUCAUUAUUUCGUUUCAAGACAAUUUAUAAAAUCUUUUCAUUUAUACACAUUUUUGUUUGCAAAACCUAAAAUUAGCCAUUUAACUCAUUUUCAUAAAAUUUCACCAAAAUCGAAUUAAAACAUACUUUAGAUAAUUAAAAUGAUAAUAAAGUUACUCACAGUACUAGGAGUUUGAUAUUCUCCUAUUCUUGGUCUUCGGGCACAAUCUUUUUACCCUUGUUAAACCU
rnacentral:lncRNA from 1 species